rnacentral:piRNA from 1 species
UGGCUAAAGAAACUCCGAUUGGUGCUGGGCA